rnacentral:rRNA from 1 species
UACGAAGGGGGCUAGCGUUGCUCGGAAUUACUGGGCGUAAAGCGCACGUAGGCGGCUUUCUAAGUCGGAGGUGAAAUCCUGGAGCUCAACUCCAGAACUGCCUUCGAUACUGGAGCUGAGUCCGGGAGAGGUGAGUGGAACUCGAGUGUAGAGGUGAAAUUCGUAGAUAUUAGGAAGAACACCGAGUGCGAAGGCGGCUCUCUGGACC